AACAUCAGCAACAAAGUGGAGCAGCAGCACCAGCACUUCCUAAUUUCACUGCUUCCCAGGAGAUGAUUCUCCAUCCCCAGGUCAUGAUAUUCUUAUCUGAGCUCGCAGAGCACAUCAACCAGACAAACUGCUGUAUUUCUCCCCCAGUUGCACCCAGGAGCACACUUGCAUGAGGAAAAUAAAAGGUGCCCAAGAUUUGAAAUAUGGCAGUGAGCAUCCCUGUAAUGCAGCCACGGGAACUGCCAGCAAAAAGCGCUUCACAGGGGAUUUACAACAUGGAUUUUUCUGCUACAUGAGGUGGGGAGAGAAAUCUGCAAAGAAGGCAGAUCAUAAUUUAAGUUUAUUUAUGAUUUAUUCCAGUAGCUGGAGAAGGAUUUAAAGAGGCAUUUCCAGUGCUUCUUUGAACACCUGAACCACCACACACCCAUGAAGCUCAGUAAAAGCUCUGGACUGUGUUACCCCUGACUGACAAAACACAAUGUGUGCAACCCUGCUGCCCCCUUACACUGGCAGAGUGUUAAAAUGCAGGGCACAUAUGCAACUAGCAAAAAAUUUCAAGGAAAUUAGUAAGAUGAGUGACUUGAUAAAAUCCUUCUCUCUGAGCUAGACAGCCUAAGGCUGAGUCAUGAGAACAUAGGGAAAAAAACCACCAAAAUCCCAUAUUCCAACUUGAACAUCCAAACAGAGGACUCCUGCAGCCUCCUUUAGGCACCAAAGGGUAUCUCUGCAUGAAAGCUUUAAAACCUUCCUUAACUUGGUCUCUGUUGAAGGAUCCCAUCAGCUUCUCCCAAGUCCUCUCACAGCCCCUGGAAUGGCAGAGCAACGAUCUC